CUCCAAAUGGACCCAAAAUAGUGCCGUUCGUUUGUGCUUCGUUUGUGCUGGUUUGUGCUGCAAAAAGUUUCGUUUGUGCUGCUACGGUUUUGCAGAUAUUACACAUUUAAUUUAUAGCGAUGACGUCACUGUAUUUCGUCGCGAAUUUCAAGCUCCUGGAAUGCUCCUGAUGCAGGACGAAUACAAGGUCAUUAUAGAUCUCCCAGGCAUAUGCAGUCCUCCUGCAGUAUGCCACAUAAUGCCCAAGAGAAUCCUGGCUCCAGACUGGAGGGAAAUUCAAGCAAGGCAACUUCCUUGCAACUGCUACCAAGGUCAGUGUCAAUCCACACAAACUCUCCCAGAUUGUAGCUG